UUCCGGUUGAUCCNGCCGGACCUGACUGCUAUCGGAUUGAUACUAAGCCAUGCGAGUCAUUGUAGUAAUACAAGGCAGACGGCUCAGUAACGCGUAGUCAACCUAACCUAUGGACGGGAAUAACCUCGGGAAACUGAGUAUAAUGCCCGAUAGAACAUUAUGCCUGGAAUGGUUUAUGUUCCAAAUGAUUUAUCGCCGUAGGAUGGGACUGCGGCCUAUCAGUUUGUUGGUGAGGUAAUGGCCCACCAAGACUAUUACAGGUACGGGCUCUGAGAGGAGUAGCCCGGAGAUGGGUACUGAGACACGGACCCAGGCCCUAUGGGGCGCAGCAGGCGAGAAAACUUUGCAAUGUGCGAAAGCACGACAAGGUUAAUCCGAGUGGUUUCUGCUAAAGGAACCUUUUGUUAGUCCUAGAAACACUAACGAAUAAGGGGUGGGCAAGUUCUGGUGUCAGCCGCCGCGGUAAAACCAGCACCUCAAGUGGUCAGGAUGAUUAUUGGGCCUAAAGCAUCCGUAGCCGGUCCUGUAAGUUUUCGGUUAAAUCUGUACGCUUAACGUACAGGCUGCCGGAAAUACUGCAGGACUAGGGAGUGGGAGAGGUAGACGGUACUCGGGAGGAAGGGGUAAAAUCCUUUGAUCUCUCGAUGACCACCUGUGGCGAAGGCGGUCUACCAGAACACGUCCGACGGUGAGGGAUGAAAGUUGGGGGAGCAAACCGGAUUAGAUACCCGGGUAGUCCCAACCGUAAACUAUGCAAACUCAGUGAUGCAUUGACUUGUAGUCAAUGCAGUGCUGCAGGGAAGCCGUUAAGUUUGCCGCCUGGGAAGUACGUACGCAAGUAUGAAACUUAAAGGAAUUGGCGGGGGAGCACCACAAGGGGUGAAGCCUGCGGUUCAAUUGGAUUCAACGCCGGG
rnacentral:rRNA from 1 species